rnacentral:tRNA from 1 species
GCCCACGUAGCUCAGGCGGCAGAGCGCGUCCUUGGUAAGGACGAGGUCACCGGUUCGAAUCCGGUCGUGGGCUCCA